CCUACGGGAGGCAGCAGUGGGGAAUAUUGGACAAUGGGCGCAAGCCUGAUCCAGCCAUGCCGCGUGAGUGAUGAAGGCCUUAGGGUUGUAAAGCUCUUUCAGCGAGGAGGAUAAUGACGUUACUCGCAGAAGAAGCCCCGGCUAACUUCGUGCCAGCAGCCGCGGUAAUACGAAGGGGGCUAGCGUUGUUCGGAAUCACUGGGCGUAAAGCGCACGUAGGCGGAUUGAUAAGUUAGGGGUGAAAUCCCAGGGCUCAACCCUGGAACUGCCUUUGAUACUGUCAGUCUAGAGACCGAGAGAGGUGAGUGGAACUCCGAGUGUAGAGGUGAAAUUCGUAGAUAUUCGGAAGAACACCAGUGGCGAAGGCGGCUCACUGGCUCGGUACUGACGCUGAGGUGCGAAAGCGUGGGGAGCAAACAGGAUUAGAUACCCUAGUAGUC
rnacentral:rRNA from 1 species